UUUCUAUUUAUAUAACCAGGCAGUUAAAGGAGCUUUUAAAAAGAACUUGGGAGUCCUGAAGGGAUAAUUAACAGAGAAAGCUUCAGAGCAGUUCCUCAGUCUUUUUGGAAACAUAAUUUAUCUCUUCAAGAUGGCAUGAGUGAGGUGCAGUACCUGCUUGCUGAGUGUGACAGUGGUGUUGAUGCUGACCAGGUCAUGUUGACUGUUUGCUGGGGUACUACCAUCUGCGGUGGUGUCAGAGCAUCUCCUGACUCUAUAUCAAUCUGCAUUUAUGCACAGGGAGACAUACAUCUCCGUAUCUUCCAUAUUCAAGCUCUCAUCACUCUGAGGAAGAUGGUGCGAGAGGAAACAGGCCUGACCUCGCCUCAGAGAUUGGUACGUCCUUCUGAGAAUGGAGUGGAGGAGGAGACCCACGUGCAGUUUGCUCUAUCAUGACUUUGUUGGAGACCUGGCCAGUGACAAGUUUUCCAAGGAGAGAGGAACACACUCAUUGUGCUGGACCUGCUGGUGAAUUGCCAGUGCCUGGCUCCUCUCAGAAGAUCUCAGUCUGCAAUCAGACAACUCAGCAUGCCCUGGUGUUGGUCCAGAACAGUCAACUCAGUGUCUUUGAAAUCAGUGACUAAUCACAGCUUCCUGGUAAGUUCUAUUUACAAGAGAUCCGCAUAUUGCAACUUAAUAGGGACUGUCUCCAAGUUAAAACAAAGUGCUAAAAACCAAAUAUAUUUCUGUAU